rnacentral:rRNA from 1 species
CCUACGGGAGGCAGCAGUGAGGAAUAUUGGUCAAUGGGCGCGAGCCUGAACCAGCCAAGUAGCGUGAAGGAUGACUGCCCUACGGGUUGUAAACUUCUUUUAUAAAGGAAUAAAGUGAGGCACGUGUGCCUUUUUGUAUGUACUUUAUGAAUAAGGAUCGGCUAACUCCGUGCCAGCAGCCGCGGUAAUACGGAGGAUCCGGGCGUUAUCCGGAUGUAUUGGGUUUAAAGGGAGCGUAGAUGGGUUGUUAAGUCAGUUGUGAAAGUUUGGGGCUCAACCGUAAAAUUGCAGUUGAAACUGGAAGUCUUGAGUGCAGUAGAGGUAGGCGGAAUUCGUGGUGUAGCGGUGAAAUGCUUAGAUAUCACGAAGAACUCCGAUUGCGAAGGCAGCCUACUGGACUGCAACUGACGUUGAGGCUCGAAAGUGUGGGUAUCAAACAGGAUUAGAUACCCGUGUAGUC